AAAAUUAUAUAGUCGGAUGUUAUUCGCUUUAGAAGGGGUAUAGGGGCAGCGGCACGCGCCAACAGCGAAGAGAAAACAAAAGAAAUCAAGUAAAGAAGAGACAGGAAGAUUUGGUGCAUUCUGUUUGAGUGAUUGAAAGGGAAGCAUCCAUUUAAAUUGUACGCAGCAGAGUUACUUUAAUCGUUUCUUUAAGUUCAAGUAAUAAAGUCAGGUGUUUUAUGAGGUCCGUUAGCCGAAAGUGGAAGAUGAAAUGUUUUGUGCCAAUAAAAUUCCCGCAAAGGGGUAUACACAGCUCUAAAAGGAGCGUUGGCCUAGGACUCAGUGGACCUGGACAAAUGUUUAAGAAAGGCGAUGACCAAUGCAAAAAACAAAUUAACGAAGCAUACAACUAGGCUUACUAACAAUAGUUGUCCUUCAACAGAAAAGCUAAACAACACAAUUUAAUUAAAAUGAAGUAAAUAAAAAUGAAUGUAUUUUA